GAUGAAGAACGCAGCGAAAUGCGAUAAGUAAUGUGAAUUGCAGAAUUCUGUGAAUCAUCGAAUCUUUGAACGCACCUUGCGCCCUUUGGCUAUUCCGAAGGGCAUGCCUGUUUGAGUAUCAUGAACACCUCAACUCUCAUGGUUCGCCAUGAUGAGCUUGGACUCUGGGGGUCUUGCUGGCCUAUGGUCAGCUCCUCUCAAAUAAAUCAGCUUGCCAGUGUUUGGUGGCAUCACAGGUGUGAUAACUAUCUACGCUUGUGGUUUUCCAUCAGGUAACCUUCAGUGAUGGAGGUUCGCUGGAGCUCAUAAAUGUCCCUCCUCAGCGAGGACAGCUUUUUGAACGUUUGAUCUCAAAUCAGGUAGGACUACCCGCUGAACUUAAGCAUAUCAAUAAGCGGAGGA
rnacentral:misc_RNA from 1 species